GGCUCUGAAAGGCUGACAAACAAAACACCGAGUCUCACCCUGCCCCGCCUUGGCCGCGUCCCGCCCUUCAGCAAUCCACCCCGCCCCAACCCGCUUCCCUUCAGGGAAAUUCAUUCCUCGACUCGUCAUGUUCGUCCACUUGGCUCGACGCGGCGGCACGGAGAGGACAGGCGACGAGUGGCUCAGCGUCAACAUGAAUUUGUUUGACCUUCUAGAGUGUCUCGGGGCGGUGUUUCCCGUGCCACCAGAACACCGAGACUCUGCUGUACCCUGCAGUGAAUGCCUGUUGCUUGAGAUGAAGCUGUUGUGUUUUGGCGGUGGCAGUGGUGCCCACCUCUGGCAGAUGGAGCCUUGGGAAAUGGUGUCUUGAUGGCUGUUGUCUGUGUUGUGUCCUAAGCAUUCAGCACUGCUCUGUCUUGUCAACAGUUUCCCUUGAUGGAUUGAGCAAGAUCAAUGCCUGACAUUCUAGAAGGUUAUGGACAAGAUAAAGGACAGUGCAUGCACAGGAGUCCAGAGGAAGGUUGUCGUCUUCAUCCAUAUCAUGCCUGAGUGAUGCUGGGUAGCUGCCUCUCAGAACAUCACAACUGUACAUGGAGCAUCAUAUUGUCUCAUGAGGAACAGAACAAAGGAAUGAAUAUCAUCAAUUCAGAUUGAUAGACACAAGAAUAGUCUACAGCUAUGCAUGUCAUGAACAGAGUGCAGAGGAUGUUGAUGAAGUGACCGGACAAUAUAGAUGAGUGAUAUCAGAUUAUCCACGUCAGCAGAAAUUGUUUAGCCAAGAUUAUUGCUAUGCAUGUCAUGAACAGAGAGUGCAGAGGAUGUUGAUGAAGUGACCUGACAAUAGAUGAGUGAUAUCAGAUUGUCCAUGUCAGCAGAAAUUGUUUUAGCCAAGAUUAUUGCUGUGGUUUAGUUCCGAGAAAGCUCUUCAGCUCCAUGGCCCAUCCACACCAUAGGGCAAAGUUCUUCGAACACAACAAACUGCCUUGUCCACACGUAACUAGUUUUUAAGGCAUUGAACAAUAAGACUAGCCAUUCUUAGGAAAUCAAUUACUAUAGCAUUACCAUAGUAUGUAUAUUUUCCAGAUAUUACACAGUCAGUAUGUGUAUAUUUUCCAGAUAUUAUUACAAGUGUUAAAACAUGUGAACUGAAGCAAUCAAUCUCUCUCUCGAUCUUGAUGCUACAGGUGAUGCAGAAUUCUUUCUCCGUCAGGCCUUUGUAACUGCAGUGCCUGUAGGGAAAAAAAAACAAACAACAGAGGGCAAUCACCAUCUUUCACACCUUUCUGUAUCUAGCACGCCACAUUUUCUCCAGGAACUCUUUUAUAGCCUCAGUCAUCCUUUCAUUUGUCUCCUCACAGAGUCCCAGCAUCACCACCAUCCAUUCCCUUCCUGUCCCCACUAACGGCAGUGCCUGUAGGGAAAAAAAAACAAGAGGGCAAUCACCAUCUUUCACACUGCUAGUUCCUGCAUCUACCAUGCCACUUUCUCUCCAGGAACUCUUUUUAUAGCCUCAGUCAUCCUUUCAUUUGUCUCCUCACAGAGUCCCAGCAGCACCACCAUCCAUUCCCUUCCUGUCAUUUCCACUCUGUCAUCCCCAGCUCCCUCAGCACUACUUGCAUCAUCUCAUACCUGUCUGUGGCAUACUUCACACACUCCUGUCUCAUCCUCUCCCACGUCACACAUCUGGCCCACUUUGCUGCCAGCCUCUUUCUCCCUAUACCAUUCCAAGGUACUCUUUUGCUCAAUCCUAUUCCUCCAGUCACUCAGUCCCACACCUUUCACUACUGUCUAUCUCACUCCUCCACUUCCUUACACCCCAUUUUCUCUCUACCAUCUCCAUUUCUAUCAUACUCCAGUCCUUCUCUAAGUGCCUUCCUUCUACCUGCUGAAAAGCCCAACUAGCUAUUAUAGACCACUCUUCACCAUCCUGACACUUUAUCCCCCACUUGCUACUCUGACAUUCAUUCCACAAACAUUUUCCUCACUAUUCUAGCAUCAUUCAUUAGUUCUCUAACCUAGCCUUAUAUACCGUAGGGUCACUUUUACAUACCUUUCUCUAAAAGUGCUCCAACCCAUGUCCCCCCCCUAAGGGCCUCUACUGCUGCAUAUCUAGGUGCAUUAAGUGCCAUUCUUGCAACUCUAUGCUGCUCUAUUUCUAACUUCUCUAGUUCACUUUCAUUCCAUGCAAACAUAUCCAUACCAUACGUGAUGCUCGGAACAGCCACGCUCUACCAAACUUCUUGCAGCACUUCAUAUUUACUCUUCUUAUACAUUGGGGCCUCUCCAUUGCUCUCCCAUUCUCAGGCACUUCCUCCACACUCAUUCCAGAUACCCCUUUCUUCCUUUCUCGCAAGUUUUUCGUCGUCCAUUCUCCAACAUAAUCUUGUACGUAUCAAGUGUCUCAUUGUCUUUCCCCAAAGGCAUUCCAUCCCAUAUCACCUAUUAAGGCCCUCUGCGUGCUAUGCCAUUUUAGCUACUUUAUUCUGCACCACUUUUAACAUCAACUUCAUCACUUUUGUUCCACUUUAUUCUGCACCACUUUUAACGUCCACUUCACUUUUGUUCCAUUCAAUCACAUCCACGCCAUACUUUAUUUUAUACUAUACUGGGCACGGCCACUCUCUUCCACACUUCUCUCAGCACUUUAUUAAUAUACAUGCUCUCAUUCUGGUGGCACUUCCCUAUCAUUGGUCAAAAUGCAAACCCUUCCCCCUUCUAUUUUGUGUACAAUUAGACUUCACAUUUAUCUCUCCUACAUACUGUAAUACCUCAGAAUACUUUCCCCAUCAGUAUUACAACAUCCUUUCCAAUUGGCAUCCUGUCAUCACCAUCUCCCCAUAUUGCACUUUUGCAUCACAUUAUGGCAGUGAUUUUAUCAUGUUUGCGUUUUCUCAACGUCCUACACAUCUUACUACUAGUGAUCACUAAUUUGUUUUCAUAGAAUCUUACUAUUCUAUUCUUGCCCACAUUGUUCAAUCAAUAACAAGACUAUUUACUACUACAUUGUCUACCCAGAAGUACCUUAUACUUACUUACACGCAUAUAACCAAAACUCAGUAACUGUGUCCUGUCACUCCUGUGGAGUAAGUUCGAAGGUGGUGGUAAUGGUGUUGGCAUCUUCCUGAAAGACGGUAUGGUAUUAUUAAUAAUGGAGUGCAUGCAUGCGUCAUUGUUUUUUUACACAUAAAUAAAUACACCAUGCUA
rnacentral:lncRNA from 1 species